GGGCGAGAGGCUUCGCGCAGAACCAAGCUCCACUCAGAUACAACGGAAACAGCCAGGUGUGUGACCGUGAGGGUCAGCGGCAGAGCCACUGCUGGGAGGACCAUGGUCAGCCCUCAAGGGCAGGGCCGCCCUGGCAAAGGCCUCGAGGAUUCAGAUAGCCAGGGUGGGUGUCAGGGUUAAAGGUCAGGCUCUCCAUACACUGGCCAGGCAGGGUUCUGCCACCCCUGGGAUUGGCAGAGCCAGGGCAGGGCAAGAGGCCAUCGUCAGCAUGUUGGAAAAGAGGCCAAGAGGGGCCUGACCAAAGCUCCAUCAGGGACAGCAUCCCUGUCACCAUCCAUGGGUGAACGACAUGCAAAAUGUGGUGGGCACACGGCAGGGCGGUGCCAGCCAUGGACAGGAGAGAGGAGCUGGUGCCUGCUCGGGCCAGACGUGGAGACCCCUGUUAAGUGACCCUGCCCCACAAAGCAUCCAGAGUAGGAGCCACAGAGACAGCAAGGCAGGGCUGCCUGGCACUGAGGGUGUGGGUGGGCACAGCGCCACUGCUGGAGGGCUGGACCGCCCUGAGCUGUCUGCCCUGUUGGUUGCACUACCCCGGAGUAUGCCAGGCACUGGGCUCAGGGGCAGCUGUGUGGUGUGAAUGAGCCUCUGUGAAUCUGCUUUCCAAAGAGCUGCCGGAGAGACCACACCCUGCUCAGCACCCACGGAGGGGCCCCAGGGCAACCAUGGCACAGCAGGGCCCCUUGGGGCACCCCAGGGCAUAGCAGGACACACC
rnacentral:lncRNA from 1 species